rnacentral:rRNA from 1 species
GAUGGAGUGCUUGCACUCCUGAUGGUUAGCGGCGGACGGGUGAGUAACACGUAGGCAACCUGCCCUCAAGACUGGGAUAACUACCGGAUACGGUAGCUAAUACCGGAUAAUUUAUUUCACAGCAUUGUGGAAUAAUGAAAGACGGAGCAAUCUGUCACUUGGGGAUGGGCCUGCGGCGCAUUAGCUAGUUGGUGGGGUAAUGGCUCACCAAGGCGACGAUGCGUAGCCGACCUGAGAGGGUGAACGGCCACACUGGGACUGAGACACGGCCCAGACUCCUACGGGAGGCAGCAGUAGGGAAUCUUCCGCAAUGGGCGAAAGCCUGACGGAGCAACGCCGCGUGAGUGAUGAAGGUUUUCGGAUCGUAAAGCUCUGUUGCCAAGGAAGAACGUCUUCUAGAGUAACUGCUAGGAGAGUGACGGUACUUGAGAAGAAAGCCCCGGCUAACUACGUGCCAGCAGCCGCGGUAAUACGUAGGGGGCAAGCGUUGUCCGGAAUUAUUGGGCGUAAAGCGCGCGCAGGCGGUUCUUUAAGUCUGGUGUUUAAACCCGAGGCUCAACUUCGGGUCGCACUGGAAACUGGGGGACUUGAGUGCAGAAGAGGAGAGUGGAAUUCCACGUGUAGCGGUGAAAUGCGUAGAUAUGUGG